AUAUAUACAUACAUAUAUGCAUAUAUAUUCCUUAUAUCUCAUAUAUACGUGCAUAUGUAUAUGUGUGUGUAUCCUGUGUAUAUAUAUUCUAUAGUUCUGUUUCUCCAGAAAACCCUCACUAAUGUACAGUGAUUUGGGUCACUCAAGUAACUUAUACAUAGACACACACACACACACACACCCAAGAUCCCUAAUUUCUCUCCGGACAUCAAUACAAAUUCUAUGGUGGUCACAUGGACCUUGUUAACGCCUACUGUAAACAUGCCCCCCUCCCCAAAGACCCAUGAGUGCCAUGACUUUAGUCUCAAAUAGUAGAUCACAGAUUUUUCUUUCAAGAAUAUUUUUUAUUUUUAUUUAUGUGCAUGAGUGGUUUGCCUCUAUGUAUGUAUGUGUACCAUGCUCAUGCUUCAUGCCCACAAAGGCUAGAAGAAGCCAUCAGAUCUUCCAGAAAUCAAGUUAUAGAUGGCCGUGAGCUGCCAUGUUGGUGUUGCAAAUUGAGUCAAGGUCCUGUAAAUGUAUCUUAUUACUAUAUAAAAUUACCAAUAUAAAACUAAAUAAAUGUCUUAAAUAGACAGACAUAACUUAAAUACAAUGAAGAUAUGAUGAAAAAGAUAAUGCCUUUUGUUAGCAUUAUUCAAAUAUAUAUUAUUACAUGUGAAGAGCUAUCUUCAUUCAGUAGUUUGAAUAGUCGCUCUCUCCUCUUUCUCUCUCUCUCUCCCUCUCUCUCUCUCUCUCUCUCUCUCUCUCAUCCAUUCAUUUGUUUUUUCAGAGUUUCUAUGUGUAACAGCCCUGGUUGUCCUCACUCUGUAGACUAUGCUGGCCUGAAACUCAGAGAUCUACCUAUAUCUUCUUCCUGAGUGCUGGGAUUAAAGGCGUGAACCACCAUACCUGGCACUAGUAAACAUUUCAUUUAAUAUAUGUGUCAGAAAAAAAAAUUCUUUUUGCUUCUUCUUUUUCAAGGCAGAACUUUUUGGUGUAGGCCUGGAUGUCCUGGAACUCACUCUGUAGACUAGGCUGGCCUUGAACUCACAGAGAUCACCUGCCUCUGCCUCCCUAGUGCUGAGAUUAAAGGCUUGUGUUGGGAGAUUAAGGAACUGAAUUAGACUUCCUGCCUUUUAGAAGGCUAUGAAGGUUAUGAAGAGAAAUACACACUAACCAUAAUGUGUGAUAAAUCCAACCUUAGUGUAAUAACCAAAGUGGAUGUGAAGGGAGAGGAACUGGUUAUUCUGCCUGGGAAAAUUAAAAAAAAAAAAAGUCCCUCAGUAGUUCUGUUUGUUUUUAGCUUGUUUCAAUGCCUUCCCUGGAGAGUCUGCUCUGCCUCUAUGUGAAUGGAGAAGGAGCUAAGACAAAAGGGGAUUCUGGAAUAUGGGAGCCAACCUAGAAGAAAUACGUGGGCUGUCUCAGAAGACUGCUGGAAGGAAGAGAGGCAGAUGCAGAAAGAACAGGGUGGGUGUUUGCAAGAAGCGCUUGUUUGAAAUCACUCAGUGACGGUAGCAUCCACUAAAAUGGGACAGCCAGCCACUGCGGACAUAGGAUUAGCAUGACGUGGAGCACUUAGCAGGACCCCAAGAGUCCCUUCCCCUCCCUGCCAACUGAACUUUAACACAACCAUGACUUGCCAUCCAGUUCUCAGUCUGCAGGAACAGACACAGUAACAAGUUGAAACAUAAAAGGAGAACGCAAUAGUCAGUACUUGAAUGCAGAAUAGUCUACAGUGCAAGCUAAAGGAAAUGAUUUCAAUGAGAUUAUGAACGAAUUAAAAGGAAACUUGUUCCUGCAGAUCCUUAUUUCCUUGAGCCAGCCCUAUGCAUUUUUAAACAAUUUUUUAAUGCUCAUUGAUUAAGACUUGAUGGGUGUUUUGCUCGCAUGCGUGUCUGUGUGAGGGUAGCAGAUCCUGGAGUUACAGACAGUUGUGAGCUGCUGCUAAUUGAACCCUGGUCCUCUGGAAGAACAGCCAAUGGUCUUUCUGAACUGCUGAGCCAUCUCUCCAGCCUCAACUCUAUGUACUUUUAAUGUUUAGAGAACUUUGAAGUGCGAAUUUAACUAAUCAAAGGAAUUAAUCUUAUCCAAGUGAUGACAGCAUUAUGUUGGAUGGAAAAUACCCUAGGUUUUUUUCUUCCUGUCAGAUGCACAAUGAGAGUAAAAUUACAUAACCUCCUAUAUAUUUCAUCUUUGUUUUUAGGCAAAAGGGGAUGAAUAUAGUGUAUCGUGCAGACAACUGUGAAGUUGAUUGAUAUAAGAUUGUGAGAGUCCACCAUAUACUAUUUUUAAGUAGGGCUACAUUGGAACAAACACAUAACGUGGACCUGAGGAGAGAAGGCCAAUGAUGGAGAUGCAGAUUGAGAAGUUGUACCGCCGGCCAGUUAGCUCCUUGUUGUACCCACUAUGCUGGCAUUGCUAGAGUGUACUGCUGGAGCUGUCUAGUGCCUACUAGGUAACAAGACCCUGUUGCUAUCCAUCUUCUAGGGUAACUACAUAAUGAACCUAUCCAGAUGCCCCAGUGAAUUCCCCAAAGCACAAUCCUGUCCUCGGUACUUUUUCCAUAGAUGUGAUAAGAUCCUCUGGUGACAGGGACUUAAGAAAGGGUUUAAUAUGGUACACAGUCUAAGGUCCUUACAUAGCAAUUUCCUCUGCAGUGGCAUAUGUCAUCCUUGAAGAAAGCACAUUAAGACCCGGGGAAGGAAACAGUUCACAAGUCUCAGGAAUUAAUUAAAGCAAGUUUGCAAGGUCCCUUUCUCCCCAUGAUGAUCACAUGUGAAGACAACUGAGAAACCUUGCCCCUUGUCAAGCUGCCUGCAAGAUGCAGAGAACAUUCUAGAAGUCUGGCUUUUGUGAGUUGUCACCCACCCUCGAGUGGGCUAUUGCUGCUGCUAUAAGUAAUGUAUCCAUGCCCCUAUAAGUGACCUGUCACAUACACUAACCCCGAUAAACUCAUUGGUUCAUCAAGUUGAACUUGGGUGGUAUGACUUUGGCCCACGGGCAGUUCCCUAUCUGGAAUCUGUAGGUAUAUCUUCAUGUCUCUCCAGGAACAGUGUCCCACAGCAAGGGUACAAUCAGUUGUGACAGGAAAGGCAUGGCAGAGGCUGAGGCAGAGGGACACACUGCAUCUGCAGUGAAAGAGAAGAGACCAAUGAGUGUGUCUCUUCUUCAGACUGAGACUUGAUUUUCUGUACAGUUCAGGAUCUGCACACAGUGGAGGUCUUCCUAGCUCAGUCUAUAUCAAGAGAUUCCCAAAGGACAAUGUCCAGAGGCUCAUCUCCCCAGUAAUGGUAAACCUUAUCAAGUUGACAACUGAGGUUAACCAUCACGGCUACUCAACAUAUUGCCUGAAGUAUUGACUGUCGGAGUUCUCUUCACUUUGGGGAUGUGGAAGGCACUGUCUACUGUGUUCUCUGAGGCCAUACACAUGGAUCAGGCAGAACAGAACCUUUUGUAGUUAAGGUGACAGGUGGGGUAUAGCCCAAUCCUUGAGAAACAGAGGUUUAAUCAUAAAUAGUUGGUCUUUACUAUAAGACAGCUUUCAAGUCUAAGACAGAGGCAGUCUGGUCCUUCAGUGUGGUCAUUAGACACACAACAAUAGAUCCCCGGCUUCCAAAGGCAAGGUCACUGCUUGGUUAUUCUGAAUUGCUAAUGCCACUUCACCAAAAUCGCUGGUGAAGGUGAUUGGUCCAAUUUUUCAAGAAGGAACUUACACACCCAAUGGGAGAGAAGAGCAAACAAACUCAGGUAGGAACUCAGGUAGGGUUCCUCUUAGGACUUCCUGUUUCAAUCACAAAGGUUAACUGAAAACUACAGUAGCCCAAAGGAGACAAAACUAUCGAGAGUCAGUCACUCCACCAAGGAAAGAAAUGGAGCUGGCUGAGGCCAGCCUGAAGGUAAAGGGAACGAACAUGAAUGGUUUGUGGAAGAAGGGCUUCACGGAGACAGCCUCCAGCCUUCUGACGGAUUACAAAGUGACUUUCUAUAUCAGUUAUAGAAGUUUGAUCUUAUAUUGGUUCCUCAAGGUAACAGAACAUUCCAUCAAGUUGUGGCUGUGUAGUAGGGCUAGUACACGAGUCCCGGGGAGACAUGAACUAAUAUGUCUAAAUGAACUAAUAUGUAUAAACGGGGUAUUGACGACACACAAAAGAAACCAUACCACACUUCUCGCCUGGUGAGCCAGUGAGUGUAUUCAGGUUAUUUCAGGAGCAUGUUGGGCAGGCAGCUAAAGACAGUGACACGAUGUCAGAACUGAGAAGUCCCAAGAAGCCUGCAGCCCUGCAGCUGCCCGCUCACCUUGUGGCCUCCCUGAAGAGUGUCUUUUCCUUCAGCAAUUGCUCGCUGCCCGUAUGGACAUGGAGAGGGACCCGAGUCUUGUAACUUACUACAGCACAGCAUGAACCUUUUCUAUAGCCUCUGCAGUCCUGGGAGCACCUCUCCUCCCUCCAAAGAUGCUUCAGCAUGGAGGGGAUUCCAGCACUAUGAGGAAUCAUCUGCUGACUGUAGGGUGAUUCAUCUUCCAGGUUGGGGAGCGUUUUCAUUCAGAGGCCACGGCCCUGCCAUGCAAUAAACUAGCACCUCCAAAUACUGUGACCUAAACAAACCCUUCUGCCCAUUCAGCUGCUUCCCUUAAGCAUUUGAUCAUAGUGACCGACAGAAAACCAGACGAACACGGUAGGAAAUUCUAAGAUAACUUAUGCAUGAUGAAUCUUGUUCUGCAAACAUGGGUGCCUGAGUCUGGAUCCCCAGCAUCCUGGUAAAAGCUGGAGAAGGGAGGGGCCCAUGUCUGUAACCCCAAUGCUAAGGGGAAGUAGAGACCAGUGCCAGUCCAGCCAAAUGGGAAGAUCAAAGCUCCACAAAAGGCAGUUUACAUACAUACAUACACACAUACAUACACACAUACAUACAUACCACACACACACACACACAUAUACACGUGCAUGCACACACACUGGCAUGCGCGAAUAAAUAAAACCAAUUACCAAUUUUCUAUUUCGUCUUGUUAUACUUAAUCACCCCUCAUUAUACUCAAUCACUCUCCCCUUAGCCCACAAACGGAAAGAUCAAUUAUUAUUAUUAUUUUUUUUUUUAGUGGAGAGAUGAUUUUAGACAGCUACACAUGUGUUUCUUUGGUCCUUUUAAAAGCUGGGGGAACCAGUGCAUAUUAACCAGCUAGCAAAUAAACAGACACUGUUUUUGAAGGUGGAAAACAAUAUAUUAAUUUAUUCCCAAGGGAAAAAAAAAACAGAAAACAUCCGCAAAACCAAACUGGACACAGUAGAUACGGGUACUUUCCCUGCCAGCUCAAAUGCUGUUCUCUUUCCAAUAGUAUUUACAGUAAGGAGGUGACCGACAAUGGGCGUGUAAACUUCUCCAGAAAAAUCGUCUCAUUCUCCAUGAGCGAUCCAGUGUAAAACAUUAGUCUUCAGGUGCUCUCAUCCGAAUAACAAAGGAGAAAGCGGUUUUAGAUUUCACCUUGACUAAGUACUUCUUAUAUCUCAACCCUUUCCUACCCGAUACAACCCUAUUUUAUUUUUCAGUAGAAGAAACAAGAAAGUUUACACGAAGUAAUUCCCUUUAAAGGUAUGUAACAUUCAGCAGGUACAAUUACAGCACAAGAAUGAAACUGUGGUAAGUGACGUCAUUAAAGCAAAUGGGUUUUUCCCCUGUUAGAUUAAAUAAAUAUUUCUAAAUGCGAUAGAGCGAGCAAAGACAAAUCACAUUUUGAAAAUUAUAGUUAUUCAUUUGUGUGUAUGCGUAUGGGGUGGGGGGAGCGGCAGAUGUCCGAGUGCAAGGACAAGUGUGUGGAGGUUGGAGAGUUCCUUUUGGUAGUGGGCUCUCUCCCUUAGUCAUGUGGAUCCCAGGAAUUGAACUCAGGUCAUCAGGCUUUGCGGCAAGAAACCCUGCCUACCAAGUCCUGACCUCACAUUUUUUUGAAUGACAGAAUUUUUUCUCAUAAAUAACACCGAGGCCAUUCUCUGGAGAUACUAAGCAUGGCUUUAUUUUAUCUUCAACCCGAAUUCUUAGAGUUUGCUUCCUAGUGAUCAUGAACCAUCCUAAGGCUUGUUACGUCAUCUGCAAGACACAGGUACUCAUGGAACCCACGAGAGGGGCGGGCAUGGGUGUGUGAAUAAAACGAGACAAGGAGGAGCUGUGGGGGCAUGAGAGGCCUACCUUCCAUUUCCUCCUUGUCUCUGGAUUAGUCUAUCAAUCAACACGCUGCUGAUAUCUAUGGCCUGAUGUAAUAUAUAGCCAGGCCAGGUCUGUGCGAAGUGUAGCCAUUUUGUAAGACUCUAGAGCAGGGUUUCAAAAGCUGAUACCACUCUCCAGAGUUCUACAGUGGAGAAAGUAUCUGUCUUGCUUCCCUCAUGUCUGUCAGCAUAUGUCUGGAGGGCCACAGAUAUUCAAGAGGUGUUUGCUGAAUGCAGGCUGGCAAAUGGAUGGAUGGAUGGAUGGAUGGAUGGAUGGAUGGAUGGAUGGAUGGAUGGAAGGGUGAACAAGGAAAAAUGACACAGAUGUCCACCUGUCAUAAAAAGCUCUUAGGUGCUCUUGUCAGUACCAAUCAUUACAAGCUGGAGGCUGCCCUGAUAUAUUUAAAGCUGUCCACAACAGAACCCGGUCCCCAUCUCUCAUAUAGAAACGAAGCCGCAGAAGCAAGUCUUUCACAGGUUCCAGACCC